CGCAUUCAUAAAUAAAGAAAACACUGAGUAGUCAUUCGCAGAUUCUCGGCAAUGAAAAUGACAAAUUCUAAGAUUCGGAGAAAUAUGUUGGGCUGGGCUUGGAUUUUCUAACUGGUAACUGUGCAUAUAUGUUAAUCACCAAGUGCCCUGAGUGCAUGAAGAAAAUGCAUAUAUCCUCGUGGUAAUUGCACGAUUUGCUGCAUUAUGUUAUUGAACACAGUUCUUAACUAAACCCCUUGGCUCAGAUUCAUCCAUUUAUGUCGAUGGAGUGAAGGAUUUUACCCUUUGUCUUCCUAUCAGAAAUGCCUCCAGCCUCACAGCAAUUGAAAUAUGAUAGAAAAAAUGAUCCAUUCCAUUUUUCAGUGCUGAAUAAUGUCCUGCUCUCUGAAGCCUUCCUAAAAGCCAGACCACUUUUAUCUUCCUCUACCAGCACAUUAAAAAUGAAAGCUGACACUGUCUGAGGCUGAUCUCUGGUAAAGGAAUGAGAUAGCAUAUCCCUCAUGAAGAAAAGCAUCCUGGGCGUGGCAGGAGAACGCUAGGGGGGUUCUCCAAGGGCUGUGACACAUAAGCCUGCACUCUGGUUCAGGUCUCCUAAGGUGCGGGUCUCAUCACAGGAGAACAUCUGGACAAUGUGACACUCAAUGCCAUCACAGGAGGCUAAGAACUUGAAAUACUGCUGUGUCUCUGAGCUGCAAAAGUUUUCUGUGUUUGCGUAAACUCAUCCGUUUAGCCAUACAGCUCAUAAAACAUUGUGAUCACAGAAGAUCCAGCAUAGGAGUUGAACACAGCAGUCAUUUCUCGGCAUCGUUAGACAUUGUUUAGAAGAUUGUUGAUGGGAUUUUGGUCUUUUGCUGCAUACACCACCUUAAUCACAUCACUGAUGCCACCAAAGCUUUCAAUGGAUAACAGAGGAGUCCGUAAUACCUGCUCUAAGCACAGUUGGUAUGGUCAGAGGGAUACACAAACUUCUCCGGAACAGCCAUUGAAAUCUUCUGAAUCUCACUCUUGUUGAAAUGACUGCAGUAAAGAGACCGUGGACAGCCAUAAAAUAUUGGGAUGAAGAUAUCAGCAGAGCGUGGGAUCAUCAGGAUGGGCUUGGGGCUAAGGUCUGCAUCCCGGUAGAGUUCAACAAUUUCCAUUUCUCCCGCUGUUCCAGCCCUGGAGCCUUCAUUCUGGAUAAUGGAAGGACAUAGAGGGGUUGCUUCUGUUAUCAGGUUUUCUCCCUGGCACAAUGACAAGUAGAAUGCACUGCAAAGGGCUAAGGCCAAGGAGAGGAUUUGGCAGGAGACUUGACUUUUUUGAGAGCUCAACAAUCAGUGUAUUGCAGGUCCGUAAGUGGAUUUGAGCCACAAGAUGGCAAAUGGCAAAAAUAGGACAGUCCUCAAAAAUUAGGAAAGACUAAUUAAUUAGUAGGUACAGCAAUUCCAGGACAGAGCUAUGGUCCACUCGGUCCAGUAGCCUUUGUCUGACUGGGGCCAGGAUGCUUCAGUGAAAGGAAUAAAAUCCACCUCAUGAAUUACAAUAAAUUCCCCAUAGUUUUGUAGAGAAUGUUCUCCAGUAAAUAACAAUGGGGAAGUUUUAACUUGAUCCCAUGUGUUUAGUGAUUCAUUGGCUUGUGCUCCAAAGUAUGAGGGAUUAUUUUCCUGAUUCAGUAACACAAUUAAGCAUGUGCUUAAGUGCUUUGCUGAAUCAGGGCCUAUCUCCCUUAGAAACUUGCUUUCUCUCUCAUAGAGCUACCAGAAAUAAUAAGGGAUCUGAAGGCAUCUCAGUGACAGGUGCAACUGAAAAGGGUUGGAGGUUCAAGCUGCAUAAGAUCAUUUUCCAAAUCUUGUCUAGAGUCUGAAUAAUUGGGCUGGAAAUCUCACAAGACUGGGUUCUCUAGUGAAGCUUCUGGGACCUCCUGCUUCUGUUUGGGCUGGAAAUAUUCUCAGAACAGCACAUCUCGUGAUAUUUCAGAACUGCCAGCUUUCUGUCCCAGCAGAUACCAGGGUAUGCAAACCCACCUUUGGGAGAAGACUAGAGGAGGGAGGGGAAGAUUAAUCAUUUUUUUGAAAUACCAGAAGAAGGAUCAGGGCAAAUAUGUGCUUUGGUUCUUCUUUAAAUCCAAACCAGAUUGUAUAUCUCUAGGGGAAACAUCAUCUUCAUUACUUGAAAUGCUGUAGAGGUGAGAAUUGAUUCAUUCUUCAGGCCUCGUCUCCACCAGAAAUUUGUACAAAUAUAGCUAAAAGUAAUAAAGUCCUCCUAGUGUGAACACAGUUAUACCAGCUUAUUACUGUAUGGGAAGGCAAAUAAGGUACACCAAUAUAAGGCAUUUUUACACCAGUAUAACACUGUUCACGUUAGGGCUUUUAGUGAUAUAACAAUACUGAUAACAAAAAAUCACACCCCGAGCUGAAAUAGUUAUUCUGGUAAAACUUUAGUGUAGACCAGGCCACAGGGAGGAUCUAAACUACCAGACAAAGAGGAGGAGGAGGAGGAGCUAGGCAAAGAAAGAAGAAGAAACAAACAAACCAGUUAUGGGAGAAAGUGAGAAACUUCCAUCAAAUCCUCGCCUGUCGAUACAAACCCCGCAAUUGUGAUUGGUGUUGCCUUAGGGUGAUCAGACAUCCCAAUUUUAUAUGGACAGUCCAGAUUUUGGGGUCUUUUUCUUAUAUAGGCUCCUAUUAUCCCGCCACCCCCGUCCUGACUUUUCACAUUUGCUGUCUGGUCACCCUAUGUUGCCUUCUUUAUUCAACCACUGCAGCCAAUGAAUCGACCCAGUGUACCUCCCAGCACCAAAAACUCAGUGUUUUCAAUGUCACUGACGCUUCACAAUUGGGGGAAAAAAUCAGGAAAACUUUCGAUGACAUUUUUGCAAAAAAAAAAAAAAAAAAAAAAUCCAGUUGUUUUGUGAUGGAGUGAGUCAAACCAUUUAUAAAGUAUAUAAAAGGCAUAACAAAUUUGAAAUAGUUUUCCUUUUUUCCCCAAUUACUGGGUUUUUGUCAACUAUUUUGUGAAAUCAUUUCCAAACGAUCUUCAAGCUCUUUCAUGGAUGAUAGCAAGACAGAGAUCCGGCUGACUAGUCUCAUUUCCUAAAAGAUCAUAGAAUAGAAUAUCAGGGUUAGAAGGGACCUCAGGAGGUCAUCUAGUCCAACCCCCUGCUAAAAGCAGGACCAGUCCCCAAUAUUUGCCCCAGAUCCCUAAACGGCCCCCUCAAGGGUUGAACUCACAACCCUGGGUUUAGCAGGCCAAUGCUCCCGCCAUGUAGAUAUAGGAGAGCUGCAGAGACAGCUGAUGAAAGAGACUGCAGGAGUGGUUGAAAGUAUUACCUCAUUUCUAGGUGUUAGGGCACCAGAGCAGAAGCAAGGGGUAUGUCUACACUACAAUUAAAAACCUGCCGCUGGCCAUGCCCUCUGACUUGGGCUCAUGGGACUCAGGCUAAGGGGCUGUUUAAUUGAGGUGUAGACACACAAGACUGGGCUCUAGGACUCUGCAAGGUCGGUGGGUCCCAGAACUUGGGCUGCAUCCAGAGCCUGAACAUCUAAACUGCAAUUAAACAGCCCCAUAACCUUAGUCCCAUGAGCCCAAAUUAGCUGGCCCAGGCCACCACAGGUUUCGAAUUACAGAGUAGAUAUACCCUGAGAGACCUGAGUUCAAUUUCCUGCUCUGACAUAGACUUCCUGUGUGACCAUGGGCAAGUCACUUAAUCCUUCUGUGCCUCAAUUCCCAAUCUGUAAAAUGGGGGUAGUAGCACUUCCCUAGGAUAAAUUCAUUAAAGAUUGUGAGGGACUCAUUUUACUAGGGUGAUGGAGGCCAUGUAAGUAAUUACUAUAGAUAGAUUUUUAGUUUACAGUGAAUACAA